UACGUAGGCAGCAAGCGUUGUUCGGAGUUACUGGGCGUAAAGAGUGCGUAGGCGGUGCCCUAAGUCUGUUGUGAAAUCUCCCGGCUUAACUGGGAGGGUGCGGUGGAAACUGGGGUGCUUGAGUGCGGGAGAGGUAAGCGGAAUUCCUGGUGUAGCGGUGAAAUGCGUAGAUAUCAGGAGGAACGCCGGCGGUGUAGACGGCUUACUGGACCGCGACUGACGCUGAGGCACGAAAGCGUGGGUAG
rnacentral:rRNA from 1 species